rnacentral:rRNA from 1 species
GUAGGAUAAGCUAAGCACACUGUUGGUUAUGUGUGCCCAAGCAUUGAGGCAGUCAAAGUAGGCAAAUCCGCUUUGAUAAUGCUGGGAUGUGAUGGGGAGCGAAAUUUAGUAGCGAAGUAGCUGAUUUCACACUGUCAAGAAAAGUCUCUAUCGAGGUUAAAGGUACCCGUACCGCAAACCGACACAGGUGGGUGAGGAGAGUAUCCUAAGGCCAGCGAGAGAACUGUUGUUAAGGAACUCGGCAAAAUGACCCCGUAACUUAGGGAUAAGGGGUGCCACCAUCAGGUGGCCGCAGAGAAUAGGCCCAAGCGACUGUUUACCAAAAACAUAGGUUUCUGCUAAGUCGCAAGACGAUGUAUAGGAGCUGACGCCUGCCCGGUGCUGGAAGGUUAAGGGGAUCUGUUAGAGCAAUCGAAGCAGUGAACUUAAGCCCCAGUAAACGGCGGCCGUAACUAUAACGGUCCUAAGGUAGCGAAAUUCCUUGUCGGGUAAGUUCCGACCCGCACGAAAGGCGUAACGAUUUGGGCACUGUCUCAACAACAGACUCGGUGAAAUUGUAAUUCCGGUGAAGAUGCCGGAUACCUGCGACAGGACGGAAAGACCCCAUGGAGCUUUACUGUAGCUUGACAUUGGGUCUUGGUACUACAUGUACAGGAUAGGUGGGAGGCUUUGAAACCAGGACGCCAGUUUUGGCGGAGCCAUCCUUGGGAUACCACCCUUGUAGUACUGGGACUCUAACCAUAGGCCAUGAAUCUGGUCUUGGGACACUGUCAGGUGGGCAGUUUGACUGGGGCGGUCGCCUCCCAAAAGGUAACGGAGGCGCUCAAAGGUUCUCUCAGUACGGUCGGAAAUCGUACGUAGAGUGUAAAGGCAAAAGAGAGCUUGAUUGCAAGACAUACAGGUCGAGCAAGGAUGAAAAUCGGACUUAGUGAUCCGGUGGUUCUGCGUGGAAGGGCCAUCGCUCAACGGAUAAAAGCUACCCUGGGGAUAACAGGCUUAUCUCCCCCAAGAGUCCACAUCGACGGGGAGGUUUGGCACCUCGAUGUCGGCUCAUCACAUCCUGGGGCUGUAGUAGGUCCCAAGGGUUGGGCUGUUCGCCCAUUAAAGUGGUACGCGAGCUGGGUUCAGAACGUCGUGAGACAGUUCGGUCCCUAUCCGUCGCAGGCGUAGGAAAUUUGAGAAGACCUGUCCUUAGUAC